rnacentral:rRNA from 1 species
AUGCACGCUGGCGGCGUGCCUAAUACAUGCAAGUCGAGCGAACAGACGAGGAGCUUGCUCCUCUGACGUUAGCGGCGGACGGGUGAGUAACACGUGGAUAACCUACCUAUAAGACUGGGAUAACUUCGGGAAACCGGAGCUAAUACCGGAUAAUAUAUUGAACCGCAUGGUUCAAUAGUGAAAGACGGUUUUGCUGUCACUUAUAGAUGGAUCCGCGCCGCAUUAGCUAGUUGGUAAGGUAACGGCUUACCAAGGCAACGAUGCGUAGCCGACCUGAGAGGGUGAUCGGCCACACUGGAACUGAGACACGGUCCAGACUCCUACGGGAGGCAGCAGUAGGGAAUCUUCCGCAAUGGGCGAAAGCCUGACGGAGCAACGCCGCGUGAGUGAUGAAGGUCUUCGGAUCGUAAAACUCUGUUAUUAGGGAAGAACAAAUGUGUAAGUAACUAUGCACGUCUUGACGGUACCUAAUCAGAAAGCCAUGGCUAACUACGUG